UUUGAGAUAAUAUCCAAUAAGUCCGUCAAAAUUUCAAAAUAUCUUAUUAAUCACUAGAGAACGAAAAUAUCCUUUUAGGCUUCGUGUACGUAAUAUUACGUUCUGUAUAUCGCAAUUAGUCGGUUACAACAUAUUUUCUGCAGUCCUACCGGAGAACGCAAAAAUAUAUCUCUAUAUUCUUUUACUACUCCAUUUUAUCUAAUAGCGUUAGAUAGGUCACAAUACCAAACUAAGCCUUAGUAAUUUUUUAAAAAAAAUCCUUCAAAUAUUCUCAUUUUCCUCUUAGGUAUACUAAU
rnacentral:lncRNA from 1 species